GCACUCCCGGGGCGUCUCUAUCUCAUUGCGAGAGGAGGCGCACCUAUAGCGUACACGCUGAUACCCGAAAGAUGGUGAACUAUGCCUGGCCAGGACGAAGCCAGGGGAAACCCUGGUGGAGGUCCGCAGCGAUUCUGACGUGCAAAUCGAUCGUCGGAGCUGGGUUUAGGGGCGAAAGACCAAUCGAACCAUCUAGUAGCUGGUUCCCUCUGAAGUUUCCCUCAGGAUAGCUUGCGCUCGGACGAGACGAGUCUCAUCCGGUAGAGCGAAUGAUUAGAGGCCUUGGGGUCGAAACGACCUCAACCUAUUCUCAAACUCCAAAUAGAUGAGAACCCUGGCUUUCUUAAACUAUGAAGCCAAGGGGUUUCGGAUCAGAGUGCCAAGUGGGCCAAUUUUGGUAAGCAGAACUGGCGCUGUGGGAUGAACCAAACGCGGAGUUAAGGCGCCUCAAUCGACGCUCAUGUGAGACCAUGAAAGGCGUUGGUUGCUUAAGACAGCAG
rnacentral:rRNA from 2 species